AUUGAGAAAUGUAAAAUAGGUAUCAGUAAGGUUUUAAUGGUAUUACUAUUCUUACAAUCCUGCUUAUUAAACAUAUUGUACAUAAUAUGAAACAAUUGAACAUAAUAU